rnacentral:snRNA from 1 species
AGCUUUGCGCAGUGGCAGUAUCGUAGCCAAUGAGGUUUAUCCGAGGCGCGAUUAUUGCUAAUUGAAAACAAAGUUGAGGGGCGCCUGGGUGGCUCAGUGGGUUAAGCCUCUGCCUUCGGCUCAAGUCAUGAUCUCAGGGUC